ACUGUCGUCGAGACGUCUGUUAGUGUGUAUGAGUUUUUUGGGAAAUUUCCUGUAGAGUUUUGGUGUUUUCAGUUUAUUUUCACAGAGCCCAAUGUGCGGUGGAUAACAAGACAGAAACGAAUGACAUGUGAAACGAUAUCAUCCCAUUUGGUCAUCACGGAAAGUUGCCGGCGCGGGUAUGACCAAUGUGAUGUGUAUGUUUUCAAUUACAUUAAUUAAUUAGUAAAGAUCAAUCUCAAGAGAUAGUAUUUUCGUUUUUCGCGGCUUUCCUUUGCUCCAUUCAUUAUAAUGUUUGAAUUAUUCCUUGUAAUAUAAGAACUGUAUAUUGGAUCGGUCUUACACUAUAAAAACUAACGUACAUCAUAUAUCUUAGUGUUAGGUCAUAAUUCAACAACGUUGCCAGAUUUUAAAAGUGAAUUAAUGAAUAAUGUUGCAAUUGUUUUUUCUGAAUAUAUAUUGGCCUAAAGAUUUCAGAUCUGGAUUGUUUUUUACAGGCUACAUAAUUUUUUUAAAUGAGUAUUAUAUUGUAAUUUCAAAUUAAAUUUUAUUUACAUAACAAUCUAAUGAAAUUUUAUUUUAUUUGGCAGUAUAUUCCAAUUAUGAAAUGUAGACAGAAGAAGAACAAUCUGUGUAUGAAAAAUGUCCGUCGAAAUAUGUAAAAUAAAGGUGGCGCCACAUUAGCAUCAGGAUAAAUUUCUUUUAGGUUAUAUUCUCUACAUUAUUUUGUACAAUUCCUUUUGAAAUUCUCGUGGAUAAACUAUGAUAUUAAAUUCAUUAAUUCGGCAUACUUCAAUUAAUUUACAAUUGCUGUAUUCAUACCAAAUCAUACAUCAGCGCUAUUCUGGAAGGUAUUAAGACAUUCUACCUGAAUGAAAGUGUUAAAAAUAAGAUUAGUCUUCAUUAACAUUAACAUUCAGUCUUCAUUAAUAAUAAACAAUAACAAUGAUAAGAUCAUUUGAUAGAAAUACAAAAAGAAUAUUCUAUUUAUAUAUUUUUAUAAAGACUUAAAGAAAAGUCGAAAGUCCAUUGUAUUUAUCUUUCAAAAAUUAUUUAAAAAAACUAAUUUUGAAACAGAAGUAAUAAGAAAUUAAAGAUAUUUAUACAAAACUUAACAGAAUGAAAGAUAUAUUUAUACUAAAGUCUGAUUGCUUCAAUUCAUAAAUUAGGUUUCCUUUGACCUAAUUCUAUAAUCUUUUGUCAUAAUUGUCACAAAUUUGUCAUAUUAAUGUAUAUGGCGGCAUAUAUUUUGAAAUUUUAAGGAAUACGAGUGAAAAAUAAUCGAUUAUUUUCGAUUGCUCGAGGAGUAUUCUUUACGAUUAUAUGAUGAAUGAUGAUAUUACCAAGAAUAUAAAUUAUCUAUCCACCGUAAUUUCAUCACGAAAUAUAUAAUCAAUUUAAAACAAUUAUUCCAAAACGUUUCUAGUUUUACUAAAACUAAUACUAUUUUAUUUACCUAAUUAGAUGUUAUAUUUGUUCAAUAUGGGUCAAAAUCUACAAACUAUUAUGCCAAAAAAUUAUCGUCAAUAUUUUUGAGGAAUAAUAUCACUAAAUUCCGGAUUUGCUUGAGUUUUGAAUGAUGCUAGCUCUGGUUAAUAGAGGAAAUUAAUACAAACAGAAAUCCACUCCCAACAUCUCUUCUGAUAAGUUCGGCAGUAGGUAUUCUCUUCUUCUCCUGCUCCUUCUUACUUUAAUAGGUACAGUGGAAGGUCCCGGAUAUCCUAUAAAAGCCAUUAAACAGUAUAUCCGUUGGCUAAAGCUAUCCCUCCACGAAAUCCUUCCAAUCCUCAGAUUUAUAAGACCUCUAAUAAAUAAUCACUUUUAUUUUUUGUUUUUUCUCCUAUUUGUCUUUACUGCUAGUUUUAGUACUCGUCUUUGGAUACCUAGCGUGGUAUUUUCUAAUUUUGUACGUCGACUUCCUCAGUCGGUUUUUCAGGUCUUCAAAUCUGGAGGUUUUCUUCAAGAUAUCUCCUAUCUUCUUUCGGUCCUCAUGUACCAAGGGGCAUUCACUGCUUGUUAUUUUGCUGGGCUUGGAGAUUUCUUUGGAGGCAUGUGGAUAAGUCUCGUCUUCCAAUGAGUCCUACUAGUCUUGCUAUUCCAUUUUUCGUCUUGUUCACUAGAAAGUAAGCGCUAGAGAUGGAAGGACAAGGAACUUAUUGUGAUCAUUUAGGCACGCACAAAUGAGUUAUGUAUACGAUUUAUUGUAAUCAUUAUCAAAAAUUACGAAUAAAGCAAUAUUCGCAAUCAAUUUGGGGUCAAUACAAAUUUCUCGUAUUUCCUCGUGUUUUACGAAAACAUAAAAUACUGCCAGUAAAUUUUAUUUCGUAUUUAUUAAGAAAAUAUACUAACAACAACAUAUUUUUCGAUUAAACUAAAAACACCCUGUGAAUAACGAAUAAUAAAGAUAAGCCCUGUCCCAAUCCGAAUAUCUGUGUAAAGGGCGGCACCUUUAUGAACUAGAUAAGUAACUGUAAAGCACUAGGUGAUCCAUUGUAGUUAUUAUGUUGAAAGUAAUUGCUAGUUUUGGUAUACAACCACACACCGCCCCUAAGUGCAUCCCUUAUGAAGUUAUUACUAUUCUUUUGCGGCAUGAACGAGUGUACGUUUCAUCUUUGUUUUCGAUGGUUUUAUUUGUUUGGGCCGAGAAGAGGAAGAUGUUUUAUAGAUCAAUAGGUAACGACUUUGUAGGUAUUCAGAUGCCAGGUGAUAGACGUGUUGGUAUUUAUAAGGGUGAAUAGAUAUAUGUGUUUUUAAAAAUGUCAAAAAAUAGUAUGGAAUAUAACGUAUAAAUAACUCUUGAUAGAGUAGAACAGAAUUUACAAAAAUAAUCUUAUAUAAUCUCUAAUAAACGAUUUUAUUAAAUGUUAUAAAUAUUGUAAAUUCGGCCAAGAAGUUUCACAGGUUAGAUUAGGUUUCAAUUCGUAGAAUCGGUCGCUUGGUUUUAUGCUGUAUAAAUAAUUUGUUAAUUACAUUAUGUACACAAUGUUUAGUUUCUGUAUGUUAUUUUCAAACUCUUUAAUUUUCUUUGUAUAUGUAUGAAUUUGUACAUUUCUGAAAAUAUAUGUUUUUUUUUGGUUUUGAAACAGUACCCCAAAAUCUGGCCGAUUUUACAUGGACAAAUAUUGCAUCCCAAAUUUAUCUUACUACACAAAAAAAUUAUCUAUCUGGCUGAAUUUACCACUGCUCUUUUUGCUUCUUUUUGUGCCUAUGUUUGCGUCCCAUACUCUUCACUUGAAUCUCCUAUUCUUUAUAAAUAAUCCCACUAAAUUAACUGUCUCUGCCCAAUGAAUUCCAUAAGUAACAUCCAGACCUUUGCGUAUUUGGAACCAAAAAUAUUCAAUCUGUGCAACUUGCAACGCACUUAUUUGUCUACCAAUGAGAAUUCAUGUUUCACAGUCUUUAAGUCAAUGUUUUAUCAACAUUUAGGUUCGUUUUUCUUGAGACUUCUUUUCUAUUGAUCAAGUUUAUGCUGUGAUUUGUUUCAAGACGUUUUUAAUUCUCUUAUUAAUCUGUAUGUCUGCAUUGCUUGUGUUUUCUGCUUCUAUUCCAAGGUAUUUAAAUGUGCU